rnacentral:lncRNA from 1 species
AUAUUAUGUGUCUUUUUACCACACACACAAAAAUAUAACACAAAACAUGUGUUUCCCAGAAUCAAGAGUCUGACCACCUUACGCAACUUAGAUAUUGUAGAAAUGUAAGAUUCAGUCCACCUGUGAGAUGCUUCUAAAAAGCACAGCAGCACAAUGCUGUGGAUAUUUUUUCCAGAAAGAAGAUUUGGAGCCCAGUGUCUGAGAAAGGAAUGAAAUCCAGGUUGUGCGUGACAUGACUUUGAAAUAUUGCUGAUCUGUGGAAAGGCCUGAAGAUCCUCACACAGCUGUUGUCAAAGAGUGAUUUGCGAAGGCAUCAGGAGGAGGUCGUACCCACCACAGGUGUUCCGAUGAUCGCUUCUUAGAAUUUGGAAACUCUGGGAAGGCACUGAAAGAGAAACUUCACUGCCAAGAGCAUCCUGAAAACAAGCAAUUGAAGGCAGGUGUGGAGCAAUACCAUUUUUUUCUGGCUCUGAGGAUGAGUCUGAGUCUUACAAGCAUGGUAAGUCUCCAUGUAAUAGCUGUCAUUAAUUAAAGAACAGACUUGGAACUGUAAAUGAAAGGUAAUUGUUCCUAUAUUCCUGCUCCCAAAUGCUGGGUCCCUGGUACAUACAGGGAUAAGGGAGUUGGCUAGGACUGGUCCCAGCUGUAAGUCAGGGAGGACUACGUGUUGUGAUUUGAGGGGCAGAGACUCCCCUAUCUCUCCCUCCCCAAAGCUUCCUCAGUAAACUUCAUCCUAUUUUCAGGGACUGGGGGUGGAGUAGAAGGUUAGUACCUUGCUUCCAGAAGACCCUCGAGAAAAUAAGUGUACUGUGAGGGAU